CGAGACUGGCCUGCUUCAAGUUCAGUUUUCUUGUCCUCAGUCCCUCUACUCGUGAACAAACGAGUUUUCUGGGAUCUUGGUGCAACGGUGUUCCAAAAGCAGGGUCAGGCAGGCUCCAUGCCUGUCCUACCAGCAGGUGUAUCCAGGGCGGGGACGGCGGGCGUGCUUCCCAAGAGGCGCCGGCAGAGGGCGCGCGAGGACCGGCGAAGAGGUCGAUUGCUAAGCCAGGCGAGCUCGGGAGAGGCGGGCCGGCCCCCGCUCUUGCAGGACCUGGGCACCGGGCAAAGGGUCCCCGCUCCUCGAGAGGAGGCAGGCGACGAAGAUACGGACCCACAUUCUUUCAGGGCGGCGAGACCCCUGCAGCACCCGCCCGGAGUAGGAAGGGACUGAAGAUCUGAAGCUGAUGGUGACUGGGUCUGUCUAGACGCAGCUCGGUAAAAGAGAUGGAUGGAGACGAGAGAGUGGCCGAGGGACAGGCCCGCGGGGAAGCCAGGGGAAGAGCCGAGAAGGACGUGGUCUCAAGGGCUGGGGCGGUGCCCAUGAGCCUGGCGGAUCUCUGCUGCGACCCUUCCGGGCCGCGGUCUGCACUGACUCCUUCACUCCUCUGGUGCUCCCCACCAGCUGCGGUGAUUUAUGGCUGGGCCAGGCCUGACGACCUUGGACGGAUAACUAAUGACAGACACCUCAUUUGCCUAGGGGUCCCGUUUGCCUGCGAGGCAGGGUGGGGGACAUCCCCACUUCUGCCUGUGUCAUCUGGGGACCUCUGAGAACAGACUGCUGCCUCCUCCUCUUGGUUCUGCCAACUUCUUGGUCCUUGUUUGAGAUGCCCUGAUUCCUGGUCUCCAUUAGAACCCUGGGAGAGAUAGGAUCUUGCCAUGUAGCCC
rnacentral:lncRNA from 1 species